GAUGAACGCUGGCGGCGUGCCUAACACAUGCAAGUCGAACGGAGAUUACGGACGGAAGUUUUCGGAUGGAAGACUGUAAUUCUUAGUGGCGGACGGGUGAGUAACGCGUGGGCAACCUGCCCUAUGCAGGGGGAUAGCAGCUGGAAACGGCUGGUAAGACCGCAUAAGUCGGUUAAAUCGCAUGAUUUGAUCGGGAAAUGAGCAAUCAGGUAUAGGAUGGGCCCGCGUCCGAUUAGCCAGUUGGCAGGGUAAAAGCCUACCAAAGCGACGAUCGGUAGCCGGACUGAGAGGUCGGACGGCCACAUUGGGACUGAGACACGGCCCAAACUCCUACGGGAGGCAGCAGUGGGGGAUAUUGCACAAUGGAGGAAACUCUGAUGCAGCGACGCCGCGUGAGUGAAGAAGUAUUUCGGUAUGUAAAGCUCUAUCAGCAGGGAAGAUGAUGACGGUACCUGACUAAGAAGCCCCGGCUAACUACGUG
rnacentral:rRNA from 1 species